rnacentral:rRNA from 1 species
UUUUUACUUCUAAAAAAUUAUCCUUUAAGUGAAGAGACUUAAAUAAGAUAAAAAGACAAAAAGACCCUAUUGAGCUUUAUUUCAUAAGUUAAACUUCUAUAGCCUAUGCAAAAGAACCUUACCUAUAGAAAUUUUGUUGGGGCGACAAGAGAAGACCUAAAUCUUCUCUAUACUACAAGAAUAUUCCUCUACUAAUGAUCCGUAAUAAACGAUUAACAGAACCAGCUACCAUAGGGAUAACAGGCUAAUCUUCUUUGAGAGCCCAAAUUGACAAGAAGGAUUGGCACCUCGAUGUUGGCUUAGGAUACCUGAUAGAUGCAGAA